UUGGAGGGCAAGUCUGGUGCCAGCAGCCGCGGUAAUUCCAGCUCCAAUAGCGUAUAUUAAAGUUGUUGCAGUUAAAAAGCUCGUAGUUGAAUUUCGGGAUUGACGUGAUGGUCGUACCUUAAGGGGUAUGAACUGUCGCUGUUGAUUUCUCACCUUCUGGAGAAACUUGAUGUCCUUAAUUGGGUGUCUUGCGGAUCCAGGACCUUUACCUUGAAAAAAUUAGAGUGUUUAAAGCAGGCAUUUUGCUCGAAUACAUUAGCAUGGAAUAAUAGAAUAGGACGGCAUGGUUCUAUUUUGUUGGUUUCUAGGAUCACCGUAAUGAUUAAUAGGGAUAGUUGGGGGCAUUAGUAUUCAAUUGUCAGAGGUGAAAUUCUUGGAUUUAUUGAAGACUAACUACUGCGAAAGCAUUUGCCAAGGAUGUUUUCAUUAAUCGAGAACGAAAGUUAGGGGAUCGAAGACGAUCAGAUACCGUCGUAGUCUUAACCAUAAACUAUGCCGACUAGGAAUCAGACGAUGUUAAUUUUUUAAUGACUCGUUUGGCACCUUACGGGAAACCAAAGUGUUUGGGUUC
rnacentral:rRNA from 1 species